rnacentral:tRNA from 1 species
GAGGAUAUGACUCAGUGGUAGAGCGCUUGCCUAGCAUGUAAGAGGCCCUGGAUUUGAUCCCUAGUA